AAAGCCCAUGAAAGGAAACAUGGGAGCAAAGACUUGUUGAAUUAGACUUUCUCCCAUUUCUACAUAUAUGAUGUUUGAUCUCAAGAUAAUGUCUGCCUCAUUGUCUGUGGUUACCAGCAUACCUAGAAAGUCAAAGGAAUAUCCUCUAGUAUUUAAAACAUUACAACUUAAUUUUUUAUUUUUUUUUCUUUUCCUUCAUACUUCCUGCCCAUUCCCUAUACGGCCUGAAUUUUAUAAAACGGAAGUAGAAAAAUGGCAGCCACAUCCAUCCUAGAAACGGGUGAAACCAGCUGGCAGCGGCUCGUGGAGGAUGAGGUUGGUACCUGGGUGACACGCCGAGGCACCACCCAGUCAUGGGGGGGGAGCGAGUGCCUGGCUCCCAGGUGCUGUACAGGAAGAAGUUGGAUAACAGAAGAAAAUAUGUGGUUGCUGCUGCCUGUGAGCAGUUUGUCAGCUGAAAGACCAACAGUUGUUAUCGCUCGUGUUGAACUCUGCUGUCCCAGCCUUUCGUGCUCUCCCGGCCUCUGCCGUGCGCAGGUCUGGGACCUUCAGUCUCCUCUCGUUCGGCCCGAGACAUCGGGCAAAUCCAGCAGCUUUUCCAAGUCACUUUGCAAAUUGUGCGUGGGGUAAGGAGGGCAGAAUCAGGCCCUGGGCUGUCUGUGUUAUGUGGGUCCCCGGGGAGAGGGUGGCCAGACCUGCCAGGCGUUGGAGGAUUUGUCAAGCAUCCCACAAACGUGUGUCACGAUGUGCUCCAGUCCCAUCAGCUACCGUUGUGCCAGGGAAUCCUGGAGCCUGCUGCAUGGCCUCGUAUGGUCCUCGCCUGGGGUAAGUAACUUUCUUUUUCAUGGAUGAGUAAACUAUUGUAUUGCUGUUGUUUUCACUUUCACUGGCCAGCCCGAGUAAGAGGCAGGCGGUUUACGCCUGGCAGCGGAGUAGGACUGCUCCGGUGUUUCCCCUUCGCAGAUACUCGUGUUUACAAGUGGGCUGGGAGGAGGAAUGAAACAUCAGUAGCUGGAGAAAGUCCCGGCGUAAAGGAACUGCAGGCAAUGCAUCCUCCAAUUUCCUCAGCAGCGAAGAGCCGAGUUCCCAGCUGAAAGUGGGAUCUGCCCAGAGCUGUGUGGGGACUCUCUCCUCCGGGGCCUCCAAGCUGCUGCCGUACAAAUUACAGACUCCCCUCCUCUCCGAUUCACUCCCGUGCUUCUGCUCGGCCAGAUGCUUUGUGCAGGUGUGAGCUGCUGCUGGGUUAGAUCCCACCCCAUGCUGGGACCAUCUCCCAUUAUUGCGUGUCCCAGCCUCUGAAAGACAAAAAUCACCUCUCCCAUCCAAAAACAGAUGCAGCAAACUGCUGGGUAGCAGCUCUCUGCCAUGAAUAGACUGGCUGUGUAGUGGGGAGAGGCAUGGAUAACACAUUGCUUGGAAGACUAAUUCAAAUAUAGCUCUGCAACCAGCACCUGUGAUUAAAGACAAGAGAGAAGUAAACAGGCUAAUGUCUCAACUCCUGGUUUAGCUCUGAGGGUCAUUUCCUUGCCAACAGUCUCCUCUGGUAGUAAAUGCUAAGCUGCUUCAGUUUUGGACAAGUAAAUUCUUGCUCACAGAAAAUAAACAGUAAAACCAGUGCAUUAUGUUGCCAUUAGACUAAAAAAUGGGAAGCCCUGUGUACGAUAAUAAGCAGUUCCCUGCCAUACCUGAGCAGCGGGAAGUGUGAUUUGUGUUUCCUUCCCCAGCAAGUUUCACAGCCUCCUCCUAUAAUAUUUAUUUAUAAAACCCUUGAACCAUAAACCCAUAUCAGCCUCUGCCUUUCUCCCUACUCUGCAGAAUUGUAAAAAGCAGACACCAGACUGACACCAGGCUAUUCUGGCAUGCUUGCAAGGUAGGAUAAUGUUUGGGAAGCUGCGUGAGAAGCCUCCAUCCUACAUCCCUUUUGGAGAGACCAGUGAAAGUUGCGAAGGAGGAAAGCCCAGGCCUGCUGGUACUUCUGAUGAGGAGAGCCCUGUUCCUGCUGCCUCGUCCCUUCUGCAGUCCCUGUGCUCACAGAUGGGGAUGUCUUUAGAGUCAUGAUGGAGAUGUUUUUAAGGCUCAAACCCAGGAAGUACUUUAGUCUUCGUAGCUACCAGUUGGGGUUUAGCCUUUCCAGUGUUUUCAGGCAACUUUGCUGAUAGUGGCUGAGUUGGGAGAGAAUGGCAGCAGCACUGCUGCCCCAGGUCUGUAGCUCACGGAAAAGCCAGCCCAGGCUUUCCCUCUGGAAAUCUGCUAGAUGUUUCGUGGAGCACUGCCUUGGGACCAGCCAUCCCUCCCCAGCUUCCACACCUCCCAGCUCAUCUGCCUAAUUAUCUGGUAGCUUCACCCAGCCAGACAGUGGGCAUGGGAAAAAUAGGGCUGCAGCAGCCUGGGGAGGGCCGGUGUGCUCAGCAGAGGAGUCUGGUCCUGCCUGCUCUGGUAGCAGCUCCCAGCCCUGGAGCUCCCCUGCCUCCACAGAGCUUGUCAGAUGCUGGUGUGUGUGAAAAGAUCCUUUACAGUCUGAUCCCUGGCAAGGACACUGCACCCUCCGAGCGCGGCAGCGGCGUGCUGCCCGGCUGGCGAUGCGAGAUGGAGUGACUGCUCAGUGACCCCUGCACCCAACUUAUCAGCCAAAGGAGUCGCUGUCAGUGCAGUGUUGGGAUGUGGGGACGUGCUGUUAAUGACAUAAUUAAGUCAUUAUUCCUAAUGAUACACCGCAAUCUCGUAUGUAAAGACAAUAUUAUGUUUGCACUUCAAAAGCUCAUUGCUGAGAUCUUUGGAAUGAGCAUUUUUGUCCUGAUUCUUCUAUGACUAUAGUUUAAAAAAAAACCCUAUUGUAAGUUUAGAGAGGACCAGAUUCUUUUUUGUGCAAUUUAAGUUCAGACAAUCAGGGCACGAUUACUGUGCAGUCAGCACCUUUACUUUUAACAACUAGAGCAAUAAUAAUGUGUUAUUAGCCUGUACAGUGUCAAAUACACUUCCAUUUAAAUGUGCUGCUGAUGUGUGUUACUGAGCUGACUUCUGCUCUCUAGUCCUGUGAUUCUAUCAGCCAGGAAUCCAAGCUCAUUAUGCAAUUGCAAAUUGUUUCUGGAUUUCAUUAAAUCAGCAAAUGGGCAUUAGCUAGAUAUUUUACAUCAGUUGAACUUGUGAUAAUUUAUCCAAUUGGGCAACUGUUCUUUUGGAAUAAAAAAAGUCCUGAGGGAUUAUGAUUCAUUUUCAUUUCUCUGCAUAAGUCUCAGUGCAACCCCUGCAGCAUGGCUGCAAAACCAGGCAAAGAAUUGCAAUCCUACUGCAGGUGCUGAGGACAACAGCGUUCUCCCUUCAGUCUUUCACUGCUGCCACAUACCAGGAAAAGGGGAGUGAACUGCUGGUAUAAUUUAACAAUAUCAAUGGAUUUAGAUUGGACAGUUCAAAAAAGACGUUCUUGUGGCAACUCAUGUUUUAUAUAAAUAGAAGGGUUGUGAUAAAUUACAAUUAUUUUUUUUUUUUUUUAUAAAACUGCAAUGUUAAGGGCCACUGGAUAUCUUGGGCUGUGUCCAGAACAUGACUGGUUGUAUCCUGGAUAUGAGAGGAUGUAGAGACUCGAUUCUCUUUGCAUUAUAACCUUCUGUUGUUGCCGAGGUGGUGUGGAGUAGAAAUCCAGUUUGGGGAUGUCAGCAGGUUCUACCCACUUCAAGCAGGUAUAAGUGAUGACGUCAGUAACACUGUAGAUGUCCCUGAAAUAAGAGGAUUUGUUAUAAAUUGGCAAAUGCACCAAGGGAGAGACAAGGUGUGGACACAGGAUUUAACACCCUGUUGACAGAUUGAAUUUGCUGAUGAGCAAUCCCCCAGCGCCGCAGAGAUAAGGCGCAGCAGCGCAGCCCUGGAACGGGCUCGUCAGGGGUGGUCUGUCCGGGGGGCCGCAUCCCCCCACUAAAGGAGAGGGGCAGCAUGUGGGGUGGGAGAAAUGGAGAUCCAGAUUUGUUCCCUGUUGAACUCAGCAGGAGAAGCACCCCUGAUUGCAGCUGAACUUGGCCCCGCUUCCUCCUUCUCUUCUGAUCACUUCAUAACCAGGUUCACAUUCAUCCAGAUCGAAUUUCAUGUACUUGCAAAGUCUGACUCAGCAAUAAAUGUUAUCAGCUUGCAUUCAGACCUCCAGAAAACUGAAAAAAAGUCAACCUUUCCAGAACAGACAUUAUAUAGGUGCUUUGUCUUGCUGAGUCAGGCCCUGAGUGUGCUGGGACCCUUAUUGUUUUGAAACUUAAAAGAUGGUCCACAGCCCAUGAAAUAGAUAAGUGCUCGAUUCAUUGGAUACAAGAAUAUUCUUCAGUCAGUUAAUGCUGAGUGGGAAAAGCUGAAGAUGCAUUGCUAUUUGGGGCAAAGUUUAUGAAACCUUUAAUUCUAAAGGAAACAUUGGGUAAAGUCUUGCAGAAUGCUCAGAUGUAUACUGAGCCUCUUAAAGGACACGAGUCUUCUUGUGCAGUUUCUGUUCACAGGAAUGAUUAACUGACUUUACAUCUUUUAAAGCAGAAGCUAUUGCUGAUAUUUUGUCUCUACACGUUUUCCAGAUACAGCCUCAUGUGUUCAACAUAGAGCUAGUAACUUCCUAAGCUCACAGAUUUCAUGAGAGUGCUUGUACUCAGAGGAAACAAGUUGCUCAACCACCAGCGUUAAGCAUCCUCAAAGGCAGACGAUGCUGCCACACCAACUGCCCGGCUGCGAGAGGAGUGCCUGAGCCCUGCUGCUGAGGCUGGCGAGUCCUGUGGAGAAAGAAAAUGUGGAAAUCCCUCUGCUGAGAUUACCCUGCCUCCAGCUAUACAAAGUGAGAAACAGUGAUUCACCUGCUCGCUCCCAGCACGGUGGUCCCUGGGGAAGGAGAUGCCUUGCUAGGACUUGAGCCAUAAAAACCAGGGAUUUAUAGAUCUCUAUCAGCAGCCAUGCGUUGUCCCUGGAAGCAAAAUUCUCUGCACUGUGUACUUCUAAUGCAUGUACAAAUUAUGUGAGCGGGAGAACUACAGCACAGUUUUCUCUCAAAGUGGGGGAUGAGGGUGGGGACUCGGAGCUGUGUUCCCUGCCUGGCCACUGACUUGCUGGGAUUUCAGGCUUCAAGACAUCUCCUGCUCGUGUCCCUGAGGUUUUGCAAGUGAAGAGAGCAGGGUGCUGGGGAGGGCAGGCGGCACGCUGCCCGCUGCCGAGCAAUGCCGCCGCCUCACCUCGAGCAUCCCCGGGGACGGGGGCUCCGGUGCUCGCCCCGUCCCCGGUCACCCAAGGAGGUGACGCUGUGGUUGAGGCAUCCCUCUGCGUCUUAGGUAACGCUGACGGACAGCUAGACACUCAAAUCAUGGAAGUUAUUACAGCUCUUCUUGGGGCAUUGAUACAUUUUUGACCAGAAAAAAAGAAAUUAACAUUUUACUGAAA